rnacentral:lncRNA from 1 species
UAGACCUUCGAAAGCCUCCACGACCUGCCACGCCCUGUCUCCCCAUCCCUACCUGCCAGAACUCACCGCCACAGCAGACUCUGCUUCAAGUUCUGCCCUUCUCUGUGUUUAAGCCAAAUGGCCCUUCCCUUCAAUUCCAGUGUCAGAGCUGCAUCCUCAUUAGACCUUCCCUGACCACCGGAGCCCACAGUGAUCUCGAAGCAUCGAUCUUUCCUUCCCCUGAACUUCUGUAGCAAUUAUUGCCUACACCACAAAUUCGGGACUGAAUAGUAUGCUGCUGGGGUCAUUGUUCAGCGUUUCGUUGGAAUGCUUCUUGUCUUCCCAAUCGGAUGUUAAGGGCAUGGAGGUCCGAGAUGGGGUGGAUCCUUCUUUGUAUCCAGCGUUGUGGCCACCAAGCACAUGGCCCUUCAAACUCCGUUUCAGAAGUGAUGGGCUGGGGGCCGAUGGAAGCCCCAGAAACCUGUUUUUCCCUCCGUGGAGCAGAGGGACUGGUUCAGUGGGUGGAGGCCCUGGGACCCUGGGAGGAGCAGCUCGCGGGAGAAGACUUUCUCAUUCCACGGGUGGUUGCUUCUGAGAGUCAACUAUGUCAGCCAGGGACAAAUACAGUCCAACUGGUGCUGUCGCCAGCUUCUCCAGCUCCCACGGACUCCCCCCUGCGGGGAGGAAAAGGAAGGGCCACCCUGGAUGCUUCAGCACCUCUGUCCCUGCCCCUGGCUGG